UACAGCGGUCUCAAGCGUUGUUCGGAUUCAUUGGGCGUAAAGGGUGCGUAGGUGGCGCCGUAAGUCGGGUGUGAAAUUUCGGAGCUUAACUCCGAAGCUGCAUUCGAUACUGCGGUGCUUGAGGACUGGAGAGGAGACUGGAAUUCAUGGUGUAGCAGUGAAAUGCGUAGAGAUCAUGAGGAAGACCAGUGGCGAAGGCGGGUCUCUGGACAGUUCCUGACACUGAGGCACGAAAGCGUGGGGAGCAAACAGG
rnacentral:rRNA from 1 species